UACGUAGGUGACAAGCGUUGUCCGGAUUUACUGGGCGUAAAGAGCGCGCAGGCGGCCGUUCAAGUCGAGUGUGAAAGCCCCCGGCUCAACUGGGGAGGGUCAUUCGAUACUGAUCGACUCGAAGGCAGGAGAGGGAAGUGGAAUUCCCGGUGUAGUGGUGAAAUGCGUAGAUAUCGGGAGGAACACCAGUGGCGAAGGCGACUUCCUGGCCUGUUCUUGACGCUGAGGCGCGAAAGCUAGGGGAGCAAACGGG
rnacentral:rRNA from 1 species